UACGUAGGUUGCAAGCGUUGUCCGGAAUUAUUGGGCGUAAAGCGCGCGCAGGCGGUUAUGUAAGUCUGAUGUUAAAGCCCGGGGCUCGACCUCGGUUCGCAUUGGAAACUGCGUAACUUGAGUGCAGAAGAGGAAAGUGGUAUUCCACGUGUAGCGGUGAAAUGCGUAGAUAUGUGGAGGAACACCAGUGGCGAAGGCGACUUUCUGGUCUGUAACUGACGCUGAGGCGCGAAAGCGUGGGGAGCAAACAGG
rnacentral:rRNA from 1 species